rnacentral:rRNA from 1 species
ACACGUAGGGGCCUGCCGUUGUUCGGAAUCAUUGGGCGUAAAGGGCGCGCAGGCGGCUGUCCAAGUCCGGUGUUAAAUGGCCGGGCUAAACCCGAUCAUGCGCUGGAAACUGGGCGGCUUCAGUCCCGUCUGGGGUGCCGGAAUUCCAGUGGUAGGGGUGCAAUCUGGAGAUAUCUGGAAGAACAUCGAUGGCGAAGGCACGUAGCUGGCCGGAGACUGACGCUGAGGCGCGAAGGCGCGGGGAGCGAACAGGUUUAGAUACCCUGGUAGUCCGCGCAGUAAACGAUGCGCACCAGGUGUCGAGCGGCAGCGCCCGGUACCGGAGCUAACGCGAUGAGUGCGCCGCCUGGGGAGUAUGCCCGCAAGGGUGAAACUCAAAGGAAUUGACGGGG